rnacentral:rRNA from 1 species
UACCGUAAAGCGGACCCACCCUUUUAUAGGGUCUGCGACGGGUUAGGGACGCCCGGAGAAGCGAGGGCAGGGGGGAGAGGAGGGGAGGGCAGUGUGCCGGCGGCGGCGAGGGGAGGGGAAGGUUGGAGGACGAGGCUGGGGCGUCUCCCGCGCAGGUACCGGCCUCGCCUCCUCCUCUAGGUCCGCCUCGCGCGGUAGAGGUAGCGGUACCGGGGGCCGGAAGCAGCUCGGCGAGCAGUAGAAGGAGCAGGAGCAGCAGUUGCGGCGGUAGCCGCAGACCGUCCACCUGAGGCCGCCGAGCAGAGGCAGAAGAAGGAGCAGGGGUGCGCGCCGAGGUGAAGGGCAACCGGUACCCCAAGUCGGAAUUCCCCGUGUAGCCCGACCCGUAGGAGACAAAGACUCACGUGCCCCGCCAAGCUCCGCGUGAACACCUUGUUCUUGUGUACGUGUCUCGGCGUCUCCUUCUUCUUUCCCUCCGUUCAAAUAAAGCCACUCGUCUUGUGGGAGAGAGUCAGAUAUAUAGAUAGGGGUCGGAGCCGGCUAACCCAGCGUCAGAACCGCAGCGACUCUAUAUACUUUCGGCCGGCACCAACGUCCCCGUAUACCGCCGCUCCUUCGGUUGACAAUGUUAGUAUAAAUUCAAAACUAAAGACAACCAACAGGUACUAAGUAAACACCAGUAAAAGAACAAUCUACCAACUAAGUCUACACCAAAAUAAACGUCCCUCCCCAGUGACGAACAAUCAAACAAGAUCCAAUGACGAAUAAUCAAACCAGUACCACGAACAAUCAAAUGAUAAGCCACCAGGAAACAUACGUGGUAAGUCUAUAAAACAAGAAUAAAAAAACAAUUGAAAGAAAAUCAAGCCCCGGAGAGAACGACGGAGGUGAAGUACACCAUGUCAUAUAGAGGUUGAUAAGAGAGAGGACAAAGUAUAAAUAAAACGAGAUCGGUACACACAUCGGACUAUUCAUAUUUCGCAGGAGUGGUAGCAUUCGGAAGUGAAUACCUAACUAAGAUCCUUAUACGUGUUUGAUUUAAGUCUAAGUCUCAUUCAUGACUUAGCCUCACUCAAGAGGGAAAGACCCUGAAUCAGAAGACAGUACACUAAAAUAGAACUUUCUUGUCUUUUUUAAUAAGGUACACUCUCUUUAUCGGGCCACUACACACUAAGUAGCUGACUUGUAGACAAUCUUGUCAACCGAUCUAAAGAAAAGGCGAAUCGAUGUUGUAAUCAAGCUAAACAGGGAAUAACACUUUUUGUUUCCCAAACCAAAGAAACACAACCUAACCACGAAGACUUUCUCUUACCCCUUCUUACCGGACAAGUAACCGGAGAUAACAAGCUAAACCAGAGGGAUUGAAUAAUACUACCACAGUCACGACCGAACAAAAACAAGUAGGAACGAAUAUAAGUACACAGAAUCAUCAAUCUAUCGAGUAUACCAAAACCAGUCCUUCUCACAACCUAAACCCGAGCGACCCGAUAAUACUACCACAGUCAGACCAAAUGUAACAACCAAUCUCUCUCUUAAACUCUAAAACACGGACUCCACAAAUGACAGGCCAAUUACUAUCACGGAAGACUACCUCACACAGGCGACAACAGCGAGAACCUAUCAGUCAUACUACAAUUAAAUCGAAAGCUGACACAUCCAAACAGUCCGUGCUAUUUUAAAACUUACAAACUUAGUAUAGUCGUUCUUGAACCUCUACGAAUAAAAGAGGUACCCCAGAAAGUCUUUGCAUUUUUGUUGUACUGUUUCCAAGCGAGAUUUGACAUCAUAUAAGUCUCUAAAACAGAUGAACGAACUCUUAAUCUUUCCGUGAAAACAAAGAGUGCCAAACUAAACAUAUAUAACACUUGACGUUUAUGGAGCCGAGGAACGUUUUAUCCUUAGUUAUCAUGGGAGUAAAUGAACAACUUAAGAAAUAAAGGAUAUAAUGAAACGAACGCUUCAAGUUUAAGUUGAAUUGUACCUGACAAACACGAACGAACACCACUACACUCAUAAACAAAACGAAACCUUAUAAUCAAGAAGGACUUCGAAUAAUGUUAAUGUAGCUUGAUACCAACUGACCUUAUAAAAAGGCACGAAGCCAACUAUAUUCGAGGGCCUUAUAGUAACUACCUUCCUCUGAGACGUUCCGUGUAUUACGGAUAAGAUCUCCAAAAAUAAAAAGACUCAAGUAAACAACAAAGCGGAAAACUUGCUGUACUAGGUCACCAGGGUGUAUACUAUGAUUCAAUCUCUAGCCAAUAGGGACACUUACGUUUGAUACAAAUCGAUACUUGUACAAACUGAGGAUGUGAUAAAAUGGAUUAAUCAAUAACCUAAUUAAAACCAUCAAGAUAAAAAGACGACGGUUGUUGUACGUUCAAUUACAAGUUCCACACGAAACCGAAACCCUAAGAAAUGACAAAAACGAAACCGAAACACGCACCGGAGACUUUAAUUUGGUUUCAAAGUCACCCAAGAAAAAUUUCUGUUACUUCGACAGAGUUUACAGUUGGGUCAUAGACUAGGUGAGCUGCUACUCGAACAACUACGUCUACCGCUCCCGAACCAAUGAAGGUCUAGUAGAUACAAAACUUCGUAUGUGAAAGUCAGAUACGAAUGAAUAAAAUGCGAACCAAUGAAGGUCUAGUAGACAGAAAACUUCGUGUGUGAAAGACAGAUACGAAUGAAUAAAAUGCGCACAAAGGAGGGUCAGACCACUUUGUGAUCCAAGUCAAUUACUCAGAUAACGACCUUUCCUCUUCUGUGGUGUUGAAUCGUGACUGUAAGUCUUUCUAUUGAAUUGUAACGGACCACUCUGCAGUCUACGUUUAUCGUGAGCUGUAAAGAAAUGAAUAUGGGUCCACGAAACCAACGUAACGUUUUGACGAUGUAAGUCGCACCGUAAAACUCAAGACUUGGUAGGUACGGAUGACUACGAGCUUCGUUAGGCUCGUUCGUCCAGUCCUUCUUCAUCUUUGUAUCGUACCCUCCGCUCCGCAGAAAACCUCUAGGUUCUGAGAACCAACUGCAACGACAUUUACCUACUAAAGGAUAGUUAUACGGACAUGCUCGCUCAGGGGACGAACUCGAAGCAAGCGUCCGUGAGUGGUGGUGUAGUGAACCAACGAAUACCCGUUGUUACCGACGAUAGUCAGUACAACGACAGGUCAACCUGAUGGUUCGAUGAACCUAUAUUUGGCAGGAAAACAGUCCAAGUCUACUAAAUCUAAGUAAAAAAAGAACAGAGCAAAGAACCAAUUUUAUACAUAUGAUAAGACACAACUCAGGAACAGUGUGACCCCUUGCCCGGGGUAAUCCCAGGGGUAGGGGUAUUUGUUUAUGAGUAUAUGUAUUAUACUGUGGGAUAUUAAUUGUAUGUAUGUACCACAACAGGAACAGGACGA